GACGUAGGAUGCAAGUGUUAUCCGGAAUCACUGGGCGUAAAGCGUCUGUAGGUGGUCAAAUAAGUCAACUGUUAAAUCUUGAGGCUCAACCUCAAAAUCGCAGUCGAAACUAUUAGACUAGAGUAUAGUAGGGGUAAAGGGAAUUUCCAGUGGAGCGGUGAAAUGCGUAGAGAUUGGAAAGAACACCGAUGGCGAAGGCACUUUACUGGGCUAUUACUAACACUCAGAGACGAAAGCUAGGGUAGCAAAUGGG
rnacentral:rRNA from 1 species